CAAAAACAUGUCUUUUUGAAAAUAAUUUAAAGUCUAAUCCUGCCCACUGAUAAUUUUAUUAAAGGGCUGCAGUAUUUUGACUGUACAAAGGUAGCAUAAUCAAUAGUCUCUUAAUUAGUGACUUGUAUGAAAGAUUGGAUGAAAUAUAUUCUGUCUCUAAUUAAUUUAUAGAAAUUAAUUUUUUAGUAAAAAAGCUAAAAUAAUUUUAAAAGACGAGAAGACCCUAUAGAGUUUAAUAAUUUAUUUAAUUAUUAUUAAUAUAUAAUUUUUAAAAUUAAAAUUAAAUAAAUUAUUUUGUUGGGGUGAUAGAAAAAUUAAAUUAACUUUUUUUAUUUAUUAACAUUAAUUUAUGAUUAGAUGAUCCAUUAAUAAUGAUUAAAAGAAAAAAUUACCUUAGGGAUAACAGCGUAAUUUUUUUUUUUAGUUCAAAUAGGAAAAAAAGUUUGCGACCUCGAUGUUGGAUUAAGAUAAAAUUUAAAUGCAAAAGUUUAAAAUUUUGAUCUGUUCGAUCAUUAAAAUCUUACAUGAUCUG
rnacentral:rRNA from 1 species